GUCCUUCAACUAUAUGAAAAUCUCAAUUUUGGUGCUAAAUUCACCAGGUUUCGAUCAUGUGAGCGGCACAUGUUUAUUCUCAAUUUCCGCUGAAAUUAGGACUAAAAUUGGGAUUUGCAUACAGUUACAGUAC
rnacentral:pre_miRNA from 1 species